rnacentral:rRNA from 1 species
CCUACGGGUGGCAGCAGUCGAGAAUCAUUCACAAUGGGGGAAACCCUGAUGGUGCGACGCCGCGUGGGGGAAUGAAGGUCUUCGGAUUGUAAACCCCUGUCAUGUGGGAGCAAAUUAAAAAGAUAGUACCACAAGAGGAAGAGACGGCUAACUCUGUGCCAGCAGCCGCGGUAAUACAGAGGUCUCAAGCGUUGUUCGGAAUCACUGGGCGUAAAGCGUGCGUAGGCUGUUUCGUAAGUCGUGGGUGAAAGGCCCGGGCUCAACCCGCGGACGGCACAUGAUACUGGGAGACUAGAGUAAUGGAGGGGGAACCGGAAUUCUCGGUGUAGCAGUGAAAUGCGUAGAUAUCGAGAGGAACACUCGUGGCGAAGGCGGGUUCCUGGACAUUAACUGACGCUGAGGCACGAAGGCCAGGGGAGCGAAAGGGAUUAGAUACCCCUGUAGUC